GAAUGCUGACAUAAGUAACGAUAAAGCGGGUGAAAAGCCCGCUCGCCGGAAGACCAAGGGUUCCUGUCCAACGUUAAUCGGGGCAGGGUGAGUCGACCCCUAAGGCGAGGCCGAAAGGCGUAGUCGAUGGGAAACGGGUUAAUAUUCCCGUACUUGGUGUUACUGCGAAGGGGGGACGGAGAAGGCUAUGUUGGCCGGGCGACGGUUGUCCCGGUUUAAGCGUGUAGGUGUGUGUUCCAGGUAAAUCCGGUUCACUUUAACACUGAGGCGUGACGACGAGGCACUACGGUGCUGAAGCAACAAAUGCCCUGCUUCCAGGAAAAGCCUCUAAGCAUCAGGUAACACGAAAUCGUACCCCAAACCGACACAGGUGGUCAGGUAGAGAAUACCAAGGCGCUUGAGAGAACUCGGGUGAAGGAACUAGGCAAAAUGGUGCCGUAACUUCGGGAGAAGGCACGCUGACACGUAGGUGAAGUGAUUUACUCAUGGAGCUGAAGUCAGUCGAAGAUACCAGCUGGCUGCAACUGUUUAUUAAAAACACAGCACUGUGCAAACACGAAAGUGGACGUAUACGGUGUGACGCCUGCCCGGUGCCGGAAGGUUAAUUGAUGGGGUCAGCGUAAGCGAAGCUCCUGAUCGAAGCCCCGGUAAACGGCGGCCGUAACUAUAACGGUCCUAAGGUAGCGAAAUUCCUUGUCGGGUAAGUUCCGACCUGCACGAAUGGCGUAAUGAUGGCCAGGCUGUCUCCACCCGAGACUCAGUGAAAUUGAACUCGCUGUGAAGAUGCAGUGUACCCGCGGCAAGACGGAAAGACCCCGUGAACCUUUACUAUAGCUUGACACUGAACAUUGAGCCUUGAUGUGUAGGAUAGGUGGGAGGCUUUGAAGUGUGGACGCCAGUCUGCAUGGAGCCGACCUUGAAAUACCACCCUUUAAUGUUUGAUGUUCUAACGUGGACCCGUAAUCCGGGUUGCGGACAGUGUCUGGUGGGUAGUUUGACUGGGGCGGUCUCCUCCUAAAGAGUAACGGAGGAGCACGAAGGUUGGCUAAUCCUGGUCGGACAUCAGGAGGUUAGUGCAAUGGCAUAAGCCAGCUUGACUGCGAGCGUGACGGCGCGAGCAGGUGCGAAAGCAGGUCAUAGUGAUCCGGUGGUUCUGAAUGGAAGGGCCAUCGCUCAACGGAUAAAAGGUACUCCGGGGAUAACAGGCUGAUACCGCCCAAGAGUUCAUAUCGACGGCGGUGUUUGGCACCUCGAUGUCGGCUCAUCACAUCCUGGGGCUGAAGUAGGUCCCAAGGGUAUGGCUGUUCGCCAUUUAAAGUGGUACGCGAGCUGGGUUUAGAACGUCGUGAGACAGUUCGGUCCCUAUCUGCCGUGGGCGCUGGAGAACUGAGGGGGGCUGCUCCUAGUACGAGAGGACCGGAGUGGACGCAUCACUGGUGUUCGGGUUGUCAUGCCAAUGGCACUGCCCGGUAGCUAAAUGCGGAAGAGAUAAGUGCUGAAAGCAUCUAAGCACGAAACUUGCCCCGAGAUGAGUUCUCCCUGAGACUUAGAGUCUCCUGAAGGAACGUUGAAGACGACGACGUUGAUAGGCC
rnacentral:rRNA from 1 species